rnacentral:rRNA from 1 species
CCAUGCCGGUUAGGUAUGGCUAGAGUGAGCACGCGUUGAGUAUCUCAGCCUUUCAGUUCUGCCUGUAUUCUACCCUUGUUUGUCAUAUACUAUUAUUUCCUCGGCAGGCUUGCCUGCCGAGUGAAACCAUUUAUAACCUUUUUAAUUUUCAAUCAGCGUCUGAAAAAUUUAAUAAUUACAACUUUCAACAACGGAUCUCUUGGUUCUGGCAUCGAUGAAGAACGCAGCGAAAUGCGAUAAGUAGUGUGAAUUGCAGAAUUCAGUGAAUCAUCGAAUCUUUGAACGCACAUUGCGCCCCUUGGUAUUCCAUGGGGCAUGCCUGUUCGAGCGUCAUUUGUACCUUCAAGCUUUGCUUGGUGUUGGGUGUUUGUCCCGAGGGACUCGCCUUAAAGUAAUUGGCAGCCAGUGUUUGGUUUUGAAGCGCAGCACAAGUCGCGAUUCAAGGCUACACGCCCGCUUCCACAAGCCUUUUUUCACUUUUGACCUCGGAUCAGGUAGGGAUACCCGCUGAACUUAAGCAUAUCAAAAAGCGGAGGA